CAACACUCAAGCCUAGCUUGGUCUUGGGCCUCGCCGGAAACGGCGGGCCUUAAAAUCAGUGGCGGCGCCUGUUAGGCCCUAAGCGUAGUAAUACUCCUCGCUACAGGGACCCGGCAGGAGCUGGCCAGCAACCCCCAACUUUCUAA
rnacentral:misc_RNA from 1 species